CUUACGGAGCAUCAUUGACAUCUGAAGGGUUCUGGGAACUUCUGCAGUAAAGAACUCCUGGGAGACUUCAGGCUAAACAAACAAAAAAAUGUCUAAUGGCCUGUAGGGAGAAGGUGAAAGCUGGAGUGUCUGUUCAGUAAGUGCUGCGGAGUGCUGAACUCAAGAAACUAUCCUGAACUCGUUCAUGCUGAGCGAUUCAGUCGUCUGGCUUAAUUGUCCAUUUGUCAGGCUCUGCAGAAUUGCUGGAGUGACACUGCUAUUCUGUGUCAAAAGCAAGGUUCUUCAGAAUGCUACGGCCAGAGGCUUCCCCUGGGAACAAGAAAGGGCUGAGCUGGUGGAGCUCCAGCCACCUCUCUGCUGCAACCACUGCAGCAGCAACCUUAUUUGUUCUAACACUGGGCUUCCACUGGGGAAGGAGCUCUGGAGCUUUACUGUCUCUGAAAUCACUAGUCUAAAUAUCAGUAACUCAUGAAAUUGUGUUUUCUUAAAUGUAAGUGCUUGGCUGCAGUUCUGUGUUAUAAGGUGAUUCUCUGUUCUGUUUUGUUCUUCUUUAUUGUUUGUUUCUAUCUUGGAAAAUGGAGAUCAUGUCAGGGGACCCAUAUUCAUAAAUCUAGCAUAUUGGGCCUGAUUGUUUUUAAUUGCCGAUAGGAUUGUUUUAAUUGCCACAUAUUUCUGUUUCGCAAUAAACAUACAUG